rnacentral:rRNA from 1 species
GAUGAACGCUGGCGGCGUGCCUAAUACAUGCAAGUCGAGCGAACAGAUAAGGAGCUUGCUCCUUUGACGUUAGCGGCGGACGGGUGAGUAACACGUGGGUAACCUACCUAUAAGACGGGGAUAACUUCGGGAAACCGGAGCUAAUACCGGAUAACAUUUGGAACCGCAUGGUUCUAAAGUGAAAGAUGGUUUUGCUAUCACUUAUAGAUGGACCCGCGCCGUAUUAGCUAGUUGGUAAGGUAACGGCUUACCAAGGCGACGAUACGUAGCCGACCUGAGAGGGGGAUCGGCCACCCGGGAACUGAGACACGGUCCAGACUCCUACGGGAGGCAGCAGUAGGGAAUCUUCGGCAAUAGGCGAAAGCCUGACGGAGCAACGCCGCGUGAGUGAUGAAGGGUUUCGGCUCGUAAAACUCUGUUAUUAGGGAAGAACAAAUGUGUAAGUAACUGUGCACGUCUUGACGGUACCUAAUCAGAAAGCCACGGCUAACUACGUG